UUUUAAGUGGCAGAUUAUUAUGCAAGGAAUUUAAGCUUCCUUUAAGAUUAUAUCCUUAAAUA
rnacentral:tRNA from 1 species